rnacentral:rRNA from 1 species
AUGAACGCUGGCGGCGUGCUUAAUACAUGCAAGUCGAACGAAGUCAGUAGCAAUAUUGGCUGAGUGGCGAACGGGUGAGUAACGCGUUGGUGACCUGCCCCGAAGAGAGGGAUAACAGUCCGAAAGGAUUGCUAAUACCCCAUGUGGUCGUUUGGAUUAGAUGCCUUAUGACUAAACGGAUUUAUUCGCUUCGGGAGGGGCCUGCGUCCCAUCAGCUAGUUGGUAGGGUAAUGGCCUACCAAGGCGAUGACGGGUAGGGGACCUGAGAGGGUGGCCCCCCACAAUGGAACUGAAACACGGUCCAUACACCUACGGGUGGCAGCAGUAGGGAAUAUUGGUUAAUCUGCGAAAGCGGGAACCAGCAACGCCGCGUGCACGAUGACGGCCUUCGGGUUGUAAAGUGCUUUUUGAAAGGAUGAGGAAGGACAGUACUUUCAGAAUAAGCUUCGGCUAACUACGU